GGCGGCAUGCCUUACACAUGCAAGUCGAACGGCAGCACGGGAGCACUCGUGGUGUCGAGUGGCAAAGGGGUGAGUAAUAUAUCGGAACGUGCCCCUUCCUGUGGGAGAACGCUGCGAAAGCUGUGCUUAUACCGCAUACGAUCUAUGGAUGAAAGCGGGGGAUCGCAACACCUCGGGCGAUUGGAGCGGCCGAUAUCAAAUUAGCUAGUUGGUGGUGUAAAAGCCUACCAAGGCGACGAUCUGUAUCUGGUCUGAGAGGACGACCAGCCACACUGGAACUGAGACUGAGUCCAGACUCACUACGGGAGGCAGCAGUGGGGAAUUUUGGACAAUGGGCGCGAGCCUGAUCCAGCAAUGCCGCGUGCAGGAGGAAGGCCUUCGGGUUGUAAACUGCUUUUGUACGGAACGAAACGGUUCUCUCUAAUACAGGGGGCUAAUGACGGUACCGUAACAAUAAGCACCGGCUAACUACGUGCCCGCAGCCGCGGUAAUACGUAAU
rnacentral:rRNA from 1 species